AAUCAGCGCAGGGUGAGGCGGACCCUAAGGCGAGGCCCCAGAGGCGUAGUCGAUGGAUAGCCGGUUAAAAUUCCGGCCCUGUCCGCAGUGCGUUAUUACCUACAGAGGGACCCUGAAACGAAGCGCGAGCGGUUUUGUGGAUUGACCGUUCAAAGGUGUAGGGCAACCGAGACCUGAAUACGAGAGCACGGGGGCAACUCCAAGCUCGAGUCGCGUAGAGUCGGCAGGCUAGAAAAGCUCUGUUUGGGAGUGCUGCGAACAACCGUACCGCAAACCGACACAGGUGGGCAAGGCGAGUAGCCUAAGGUGAACGAGUGAAACGUGGUCAAGGAACUCGGCAUAAUGAUCCCGUAACUUCGGAAGAAGGGAUGCCAGUUUGGGUAGCCAGCUUCGCGCUGGUCGCUCUUUCUGGUCGCAGAGAAUCGACUCAAGCGACUGUUUAGCAAAAACACAGGUGCGUGCUAAGCCGCGUAAGGCGCCGUAUACGCACUGACGCCUGCCCGGUGCCGGAAGGUUAAGGGGAGGGGUUAGCCGCAAGGCGAAGCCCUGAGCCGAAGCCCCGGUAAACGGCGGCCGUAACGAUAACGGUCCUAAGGUAGCGAAAUUCCUUGUCGGGUAAGUUCCGACCUGCACGAAUGGCGUAACGACUUGAGUACUGUCUCGACCACGUGCUCGGCGAAAUGGCAGUAUCGGUGAGGAUUCCGAUUUUCCCGCAGCAGGACAAAAAGACCCCAUGCACCCUUACUGUAGCUUGCCAUUGGACGUCGCACGUGACUGUGUAGCAUAGGUGGGAGCCUUUGAGGCCCGGGCGCUAGCUCGGGAUUAGGCAUCAGUGAAAUACCACCCUGGCUCUUGUAACGUCCUCACCACGCUCUGGAAAACCCAGGCUGGGACCGUGGCAGGUGGGCAGUUUGACUGGGGCGGUCGCCUCCGAAAGAGUAACGGAGGCGCGCGAUGGUUCCCUCAGCGCGGUCGGUACUCGCGCUCUUGAGUGUAACGGCAAAAGGGAGCCUGACGGUGAGACCGACGGGUCGAGCCGCCACGAAAGUGGGCCGUAGUGAUCCGGUAGCCCGUAGUGGAUCGGCUAUCGCUCAACGGAUAAAAGGUACGCUGGGGAUAACAGGCUUAUCGCAUCCGAGAGUUCACAUCGACGAUGCGGUUUGGCACCUCGAUGUCGGCUUGUCACAUCCUGGGCUGGAGAAGGUCCCAAGGGUCCGGCUGUUCGCCGGUUAAAGUGGCACAUGAGCUGGGUUCAAAACGUCGUGAGACAGUUUGGUCUGUAUCCGCUGUGGGCGUUGGAGAAUUGAGGGACGCGGACUCUAGUACGAGAGGACCGAGUCGGACGAUCCGCUCGUGUCCCGGCUGUGUCGCCAGAUGCAACGCCGGGUAGCGAUGAUCGGUAGGGAUAACCGCUGAAAGCAUCUAAGUGGGAAGCCCUUCCCAAGAUGAAUUCUCCCUGGGGCCUUGAGCCCCCUGAAGGGCCGUCGGAGACUACGACGUCAAUAGGCCGGAUGUGGAAGCGCGGUAACGCGUUACGAGCAAACCGGUCCUAAUCGCCCGUGAGGUUUGACUAC
rnacentral:rRNA from 1 species